rnacentral:lncRNA from 1 species
GCCGCUGGGCGCCGGGCUCCUCCCCGCCGUGCCCGGCUCGGUGCCUUCCAACGCCGCGUCCCCGGGCCUCCAAGGUAACAACCCCCCCCCAACCCCUCCCAUCCCGCUCCGCGCCGUCCCCGCUGCCCGUUCCCGUUCCCGUGUUGCAGGGCUGGGCGCGUUCUCGUUCCUGCACGCUGGCUCCCAGCUGGGUGCCCCCGCGGUUCCUCCCCGUCCUCCCCCGGCUCCGCCGCCCCCCGGCUCCGAGGCGGGGUCUCCCCGGUCAUCGCCUCCGUGCAGGAGCGGGACGCGCUGGCCGCUUCCUCCCUCGCAUCGCGCGGCGGCAGCCGGGCACUGCGGCCCCGUGGGGAGCUCGGCCCGCGGCGUCGGCUCCGCUCUGCGGGGCGGGCUCCGUGCACCCCGGGCUCCCCCCGCUCCGACCCGAGGUCACCGCCUCGGACCGACCCCGAGGAGGCUCCUGGGCUGCGCGCCCGGGGCUCCGUGCCACGCGGCCGCGUGGGGCUGAGCCCCACAUCCCCCAGCCCCACACGCGGGGAGCGCGGCGCUGGGGGUCCCGCUGCCCUCAGCUGGGGGUCGGCGUUUCCCCGCGGCGCCGAUGGAUUUUGCAGCUCGGUUUCCCCGUGUCCCGAGAACCGGCACAGCUCCAUCUUCAGCCGCAGCUUUCGGCCGCUUCCCAUCCCGGCAGCGCGCGGUGAAGCUCGGCGCCGUCGCCCCACGGUGUGUGGGGCUGGGAGUCAGAAUGGGAUCGUGUGUGGGUCCCACUGGGGUCACCGCCUGUCCCAUAAACAGCCUUUAUUCCCAGCCCUACAGCCUGCCCUAUAGCCGCCCUAUAGCCGCCCUAUGGCUCUGCUCCGGGCGCCAGGCACCGCUGCAGCAAACUUGGGGCAGGGGAUGGGGGCCUCCUCCCCCGCAGCCCCACAACCACAAGGGUAUGGGGUCAGCCCGGCCCCACAGCGCAGGCUCUGGGUCUUCGCGGCCCCAUCGCGCUGGGGACGUUCCCCGCUCUCGGCUCCGUGCCUCGGGGUCCGCCCGGAGCCACAGCGGGGACACGGGGACGUGGGGCACCACGCGCUGCCCUGCGCAGCACGGGCCGGGGGGGGGCGGGACAUGGGUGUCAGACACAUGGACGCGUGGGGGGAACGGCGCUGAGGACGCAGCGGGGGGGGGACGCGGCAAUGGCACUGGGGACGCGGGUGUCGGGGACACGGACAGGUUGGGGGUACGGGAGCGACACGGGGGGACACGGGUGGGCGGUUUGGGGACGCACGGACACCGGGGACACACGGACACCGGGGAC